GUGGCAUCGUCCAGUUCUCAGUCCCAGCUUGGGCGGGGCUGCGAUGGAUGCCGCCGAGGAGAACUAGAGUCCGAAGGUCCUGGCAGGUGGAGGGGAAGAUAGAGCAGAUUCUGAGGAAACUGAAGGAGAGGAAUCCCCAGGCACUAACCGCAGCGUGGCCUGUUGUCGGAGGGCAUGAGAAGAGAGACCCUUCACUGCUGGUGUCCCACACGUGAAGAGACCCGAAGAUGGAAGGUUGUUGCUAUAAGCCGUGAAUGAUGCCGGGAUUCUUGGUCUCCAGAGGACAGGAAUUCGAUCUGGGACCAGUGACAAGGCUUGAUCGCUCAGAGCUUUUGUGUAAUAAAGUUUCAUUAAAGUAUAAAA